UGAACCUACAGAACUUGAUUUGAUUAGAUCAAAUCUAGUGCCUAUUAGUGAGGCACCGUGAAGGAGAUCUGAUAGAAUACCACAUUAGUUAGAUAGAUACUAUGAUUUUUUAGUCCGAAAUGAUGAUCCUGUUGAACUUGAUGAGAACGAUGAGGAUCGGAUCACCUACAUGGAUGCCAUGUAAAGGUCCGACUUUAAGAAAUGGCUUGAGGUCAUAAAAUUUGAGAUGGAGUUCAUAGAAAUCAACAGUGUAUGGAUACUUAUUGAUCCAUCUGAAGGGAUUAGACCCAUAGGAUAUAUAUGGAUAUUCAAAAGAAAAAGAGGUGC
rnacentral:lncRNA from 1 species